UACGGAAGGUGCGAGCGUUAAUCGGAAUUACUGGGUGUAAAGCGCACGUAGGUGGUUUUAUAAGUCGGAUGUGAAAGCCCCGGGCUUAACCUGGGAAUUGCAUCUGAUACUGUCUGACUAGAGUAUGCUAGAGGGAAGUGGAAUUCCAGGUGUAGCGGUGAAAUGCGUAGAUAUCUGGAGGAACACCAAUGGCGAAGGCAACUUCCUGGGGCAAUACUGACACUGAUGUGCGAAAGCGUGGGGAGCAAACAGG
rnacentral:rRNA from 1 species